UACAGAGGUGGCAAGCGUUGUUCGGAAUUACUGGGCGUAAAGGGCGCGUAGGCGGUCUUUUAAGUCUUGUGUGAAAUCCCUCGGCUCAACUGAGGAACUGCGCGGGAUACUGGAAGACUUGAGUUCGGGAGAGGGAAGCGGAAUUCCGGGUGUAGCGGUGAAAUGCGUAGAUAUCCGGAGGAACACCGGUGGCGAAGGCGGCCCACUGGUCCGGUACUGACGCUGAGGUGCGAAAGCGUGGGGAGCAAACAGG
rnacentral:rRNA from 1 species